rnacentral:rRNA from 1 species
UAAAGCUCUUUUACCCGGGAAGAUAAUGACUGUACCGGGAGAAUAAGCCCCGGCUAACUCCGUGCCAGCAGCCGCGGUAAUACGGAGGGGGCUAGCGUUGUUCGGAAUCACUGGGCGUAAAGCGCUCGUAGGCGGAUCUUUAAGUCAGGGGUGAAAUCCCGAGGCUCAACCUCGGAACUGCCUUUGAUACUGGGGAUCUCGAGUCCGGGAGAGGUGAGUGGAAUUGCGAGUGUAGAGGUGAAAUUCGUAGAUAUUCGCAAGAACACCGGUGGCGAAGGCGGCUCACUGGCCCGGAACUGACGCUGAGGAGCGAAAGCGUGGGGAGCAAACAGGAUUAGAUACCCUGGUAGUCCACGCCGUAAACGAUGAUGACUAGCUGUCGGGGCUCAUGGAGUUUCGGUGGCGCAGCUAACGCGUUAAGUCAUCCGCCUGGGGAGUACGGCCGCAAGGUUAAAACUCAAAGAAAUUGACGGGGGCCUGCACAAGCGGUGGAGCAUGUGGUUU